CAGCAGGAUGUUCGAGGCCUUAACGUCUCUGUGGAUGAUCGGGUGAUCUGCCAGGUCAAACAAACCAAAAGAAUCACAUUUACAAGUUGUAAUGCAUCAGAUAAUUGUGCUAAUUGAAGUUUGUCAAUGAUUGACAGAUCCUAUCUCAAAGGUCUGCCAUGUCUAAGAAGAUUAUGAUAUGUAGUGUAGGGAAAAGAACAUUGCCUACCAUCCAAGUGUUCACGUAGAUUGCCGUUGCUAACAUACUCAACCACCAUCAGACGUUCUCUAUCAGUCUCCAAAUAUCCAAGAAGUCUGACUAGGUUUGAAUGCU